rnacentral:pre_miRNA from 1 species
GAUGUUGGUCGGGUUCAAUCAGAAACAAGCAUUUGUAAAAGAAUGCUAUAGAUUUCUACAGAGCCAUAUUACUGGUGUACUUUUGAUUGAGCCGUGCCAAUAUCUU